UUUAUGUUUAGUUUCUGCAUUUAAUUUGUUUAAUUGCAUUUUUGACUGGUUUUACUUGUUCUCUCUUUUAUAGAGUAUUUUAAUUUUCCAUCUUUCACUUCACUUAUAUACCAAUGGCAUA